rnacentral:ncRNA from 2 species
GGGAGGUGUAGAGGCGCGGUGUGCAAAAGUAGCCAACGGUGAGGAGCGGGAGUCCCAUGAGCCGGGGUGAAAGGGUAGACCGCCGAAGUUCGGUGCUAUUCCCGUAACACCAGGCUGGUUUGGCAUUGAAUAAGUGCCGGACUGUCACCCGCAGGCGCUUGUAUGCGCUGCUGGAACAAGCGCGUGCUUUUGAUGCCGGCCGGGUGGAGAGCUAUCACCGGG